rnacentral:rRNA from 1 species
GUGGAGCAUGUGGCUUAAUUUGACUCAACGCGGGAAACCUUACCGGGUCCGGAUAUCUUGAGGAUUGACAGGCAGUGCGGGUGUGUUCUUUUGGAUGUUAUUAUAUGUUAUUAUUUUCAUCUAUUUUCAUCCGUUAGGCACACACCCUCGCAAAACAUUAAGCAAGUCCUUUCAUGAUUGGAUAAUAGGUGGUGCAUGGCCGUUCUUAGUUCGUGGAGUGAUCUGUCUGCUUAAUUGCGCCAACUGAGGGUGUGCGUUGGUGUGGUAUGUAAUUGACUGUAAGUUAAUUGACUGUAAGUUAAUAUGCACUACCGUUCCACCAAUAUACACACCAGUCCAUACGCAACGAACGUGACCG